rnacentral:tRNA from 1 species
GGUACGGCUAAUCAGAUGAGUGGGUUUGAACCCUUUUCAUGGGGGUUUAGGGUCCUCCCCGUAUCU